CACAGGUGCUGCAUGGCUGUCGUCAGCUCGUGCCGUGAGGUGUUGGGUUAAGUCCCACAACGAGCGCAACCUCGUCGUCAGUUAGACAUUUCUGACGAGACUGCCGGUGUAUAACCGGAGAAGUGGGAUGAUGUCAAGUCAGCAUGGCCUUUACUGUCCAGGGCUACACACACGCUACAAUGGUCGGUACAGAGGGCAGCGAAGUCGCGAGGCGGAGCCAAUCCCAGAAAGCCGGCCACAGUUCAGAUUGCAGGCUGCAACCCGCCUGCAUGAAGUCGGAGUUGCUAGUAACCGCAGGUCAGCGAUACUGCGGUGAAUACGUUCCCGGGCCUU
rnacentral:rRNA from 1 species